GGGGCAAUGAUGAGACGCGCAGGGGUACGGACCUCAGCUGAUGAUGGGAGCUGAGUGCUGGUGUCUGACUUCAGAUCAGUAGGCAUGUGGUCAACUGACUGGAGGGCACCAGCAUGAAACUGUCGCUUUACUGAGCCCU